CCGUAGAGUCGACUUGGAGGUUGUUGCCCUUGAGGCGUGGCUUUCGGAGCUAACGCGUUAAAGUCGACCGCCUGGGGAGUACGGCCGCAAGGUUAAAACUCAAAUGAAUUGACGGGGGCCCGCACAAGCGGUGGAGCAUGUGGUUUAAUUCGAUGCAACGCGAAGAACCUUACCUACUCUUGACAUCCAGAGAACUUAGCAGAGAUGCUUUGGUGCCUUCGGGAACUCUGAGACAGGUGCUGCAUGGCUGUCGUCAGCUCGUGUUGUGAAAUGUUGGGUUAAGUCCCGCAACGAGCGCAACCCUUAUCCUUUGUUGCCAGCGGUUCGGCCGGGAACUCAAAGGAGACUGCCAGUGAUAAACUGGAGGAAGGUGGGGAUGACGUCAAGUCAUCAUGGCCCUUACGAGUAGGGCUACACACGUGCUACAAUGGCAUAUACAAAGAGAAGCGACCUCGCGAGAGCAAGCGGACCUCAUAAAGUAUGUCGUAGUCCGGAUUGGAGUCUGCAACUCGACUCCAUGAAGUCGGAAUCGCUAGUAAUCGUGGAUCAGAAUGCCACGGUGAAUACGUUCCCGGGCCUUGUACACACCGCCCGUCACACCAUGGGAGUGGGUUGCAAAAGAAGUAGGUAGCUUAACCUUCGGGAGGGCGCUUACCACUUUGUGAUUCAUGACUGGGGUGAAGUCGUACAAAGGGUAAACCCGA
rnacentral:rRNA from 1 species